rnacentral:rRNA from 1 species
GCUUACGGCAACACCGCUGGUUCACGCCCGAUCUCGUUUGAUCUCGGAAGCUAAGAUAGGUUGGGCCUGGUUAGUAAUUGGAUGGGAGACCGCCUGGGAAUACCAGGUGCUGUAAGCU